rnacentral:lncRNA from 1 species
GCAGCCGUGUGCGCGUGGGUGUGGGAGGUGUUGGCCGUGCAGCCGUGCAGCUGGCAUUUACGCAACCCAAGGAUGAUCCUGUUAAGAUUUCCGGCGGAAAAAGUGAAAGCUGCAGCCUUACCUACACAGUGCUGACUUGAAAAGCCUGUCUGCAAGUUCACCUACACUCUUUACGGGUGGGUGAAGGACGUCUUGAAAAGGUUGCUGCUGGUCUCAUGGACACGGCACCCCAGCAAUUUUGCCAUUGCAACAUUUGCAGCAAGGGCAUCACAUACGAUGGCAACUACAUUGAGUGAACAUUCGGUGAGCUGCACAAUGGCCUCAUUAAUAAUGUUCUUUAGCUUUUCUUCACUGAGUCCAUUAUUCAAAAAGUAAGCAAAUGGCAUUUUCCAUGGGGAAGCAACACCCACUGCCAUCAAAACAAGUGUAUCUCCAGCUAGGCUUGUGUCAUCUGUUUCAAUUGGGGUCUGGCCAUUGCCCAAGUCGACGUAGCCUAUCAGCCGGCCACUUGCGGUGUCAACAUCACAUUUUUUUCUUAUGCUCAUGCCAUCUACCAUCACACAGCAUAGUUUCUCCCUUGCACUCUUUUCUUUGAAGGAUUUUUUCAAAUGUUCGAGGGCUUCAUGGGUAAACCCUGGCCAAGCAUCAACCACUUUCAGCCAGGUACGAAUUGUUUGUUUGCUGGGCA